UACGAAGGGGGCUAGCGUUGUUCGGAAUCACUGGGCGUAAAGGGCGCGUAGGCGGCUUUAUAAGUCGGGGGUGAAAGCCUGUGGCUCAACCACAGAAUUGCCUUCGAUACUGUAGAGCUUGAGACCGGAAGAGGUAAGUGGAACUGCGAGUGUAGAGGUGAAAUUCGUAGAUAUUCGCAAGAACACCAGUGGCGAAGGCGGCUU
rnacentral:rRNA from 1 species